rnacentral:misc_RNA from 1 species
UUAAACCAGAGUAAAACCAAAGAGUAAAGUGAAGUCAUAGUAUUGGCCAAACACAGCACAACAAAACAACAUCAUAGAUUUGGAAGACAGGUUGAGAGAGAACUGUUAGAACAACUAAGUCAACGCAUGCACUUGGAAGUUUAUGAUUAACUAGAUUUCACAAAAUGAGGGGAUAACAAUUUUCCAAUCUCUAAGAAUCCCACUUUCUCUCUCCCAUCAAAUAUAGACUUCAGCUUUUCAUCACAAUUGAUCUGCCUCUUAUCAGCUGGGCUCUGGAGGUUAUUCAGCUUGAUGUAGGCCCAUAUUUGCUUGACGGCUUCGGCACGCGAAGUCUCGGACAUGCCGAGGAAGCCAGCGAGAGUCGGGGAAACUUGGACGGCCUUAAGAAUCCCCGUCGGACGAGUCGGCUCUUUCUUUGGUCCGGCUACCGAUUUUUGGCCCGAAACGGCGGCUUUUAGCUUCCCCUUGCGAGCGACGGCAGGAGUAGAAGAGUAAGCUUGAGUGGCAGAUUUGAGAGAAUCUAAGAGGGUUCUGCAGCCUCUGAAGAACCUGGUGCCAUUGCUAAGACCUGAG